rnacentral:tRNA from 1 species
GCCCGGGUGGUGGAACGCAGACACGGUGAGCUUAAAACUCGCUGACCUUUCGGUCGUCCCGGUUCGAGUCCGGGUCCGGGCA